ACUAGCCAAUGUAAUAUAUGAAUAUACCAUAACAAUGGCAGAAAAGAAAACACAACCCUCUAUUCUUUUAUGCUUGCUUUUUUUGCUUCUAUGUCUAUCUUUUCAUGCAAGAGUCACGGAGGCUAGAGUCCAUCACGUAGUCCGGAUUUCCACUCCGCCUUCUCCAGCGUGUGGAAUUGGUAAAACAAAACAAGCCAACUCGUGGAAGUCUUGUAGACUCCCCAAAAGACCGUCUGCUGCAAAUCCUUGAUCUACAUGCUUAAGAGUUAAGAGAAAAUAAGACACAUAUCAAAAAUCAAUAUUGUCCCAGGCAGGUAUUAGAGAAUGUAUAUUGGUUUACUUUGGUUUAAUCUCUUGUAUAGUUUGGUUAGCAUAGUGGUUUAGUUUCACUUGUAUUUCAUCCUAAUUUGUAUCUCACUUUACACUUGAACGAAGAAAUUAUCUUUUCCCA